rnacentral:tRNA from 1 species
GGCACUGUGGCCGAGUGGUUAAGGCGCUGCCCUGCUACUGUUCACUCAAGUAGCAGCUAAGGCAGUUCGUUCGCGAGCGCGUGUUCGAAUCACGUCGGUGUCG